UCAUGUAACACGUAGUCAACAUAAGCCAAAGGACGUGGAUAAACUCGGUGAAUACUGAGGCUAAUACCGCGUAUAGGUUCAAUGAUACCUGGCAAUGGUUUCUGAUCAAAAUCUAUAUGGCCUUUGGAUUGGAUCUGCGUCCAGAUCAGGCUGUUGGUGAGGUAAUGGCCCACCAAACCUAUAACCGGUACGGGCUCUGAGAGGAGGAGCCCGGAGAUGGGUACUGAGAUAAGGACCCAGGCCCUAUGGGGCGCAGCAGGCGCGAAACCUCUGCAAUAGGCGAAAGCUUGACAGGGUUACUCUGAGUGACUUUCGUUAAGAAAGUCUUUUGACACCUCUAAAAAUGGUGUAGAAUAAGGGGUGGGCAAAGUCUGGUGCCA
rnacentral:rRNA from 1 species